rnacentral:rRNA from 1 species
ACCCCGGGAGGGGAGUGAAAUAGUACCUGAAACCGUAUGUCUACAAGCAGUCGGAGCGAAAGCGACGGCGUGCCUAUUGAAGAAUGAACCAACGAGUUAUCUGCACUAGCGAGGUUAAGUGGAAGACACGGAGCCGCAGCGAAAGCGAGUCUGAAAAGGGCGACGAGUUAGUGUAGGUAGACCCGAAACCGCAGUGAUCUACCCAUGUCCAGGUUGAAGCGCAGGUAAAAAUGCGUGGAGGACCGAACCGGUGAGCGUUGAAAAGCUUUCGGAUGAGAUGUGGGUAGGGGUGAAAUUCCAAUCGAACGCGGAGAUAGCUGGUUCUCCCCGAAAUAGCUUUAGGGCUAGCCUCAGGUAGUAAGUAUAGGCGGUAGAGCACUGAUCGGGCUAGGGGCCAUAAAGGUUACCGAACCCUGUCAAACUCCGAAUGGAUAUACUGCAGAGCCUGGGAGUCAGACUACGAGUGAUAAGAUCCGUGGUCAAAAGGGAAACAGCCCAGACCACCGGCUAAGGUCCCAAAUGCCGUACUAAGUGGAAAAGGAUGUGGGGAUUCAUAAACAACCAGGAUGUUGGCUCAGAAGCAGCCACCAUUUAAAGAGUGCGUAAUAGCUCACUGGUCGAGAGUCCCUGCGCCGAAAAUUUCCGGGGCUAAAGUACGGAACCGAAGCCGUGGCUGUGUACUUAGGUGCACGGGGUAGGGGAGCGUUGCCACAGGGGUGAAGCUGGUCUGGAAGGACUGGUGGACUUGUGGGAAGUGAGAAUGUUGGUAUGAGUAGCGAAAAGAAAGGUGAGAAUCCUUUCCACCGAAAGCAUAAGGAUUCCUGAGCAACGAUCGUCGUCUCAGGGUAAGUCGGGACCUAAUCCGAGGCAAAGAGCGUAGGAGAUGGACAACAGGUUGAUAUUCCUGUACCGGCAGCAAUUGUUUGAGCGAAGGAGUGACACAGAAGGGCAGGCAGGCGCGAGACUGGAUUGUCGCGUGCAAGCGUGUAGGGUAGUGUACAGGCAAAUCCGUACACUGAAAGCCUGAGGCGUUACGCGGAGCGAGCAGAGAUGCGAGCGAAGCUGCUGAUCCCACACUGUCGAGAAAAGCUUCUAGUGAGAGAGCUGCCGCCCGUACCGUAAACCGACACAGGUAUGCGGGGAGAGAAUCCUAAGGUGCGCGGGAGAACCCUCGUUAAGGAACUCGGCAAAAUGACCCGUAACUUCGGGAUAAGGGUAGCCGUCUAGGUGAAGGAACUAGCUUCUGGAGCUGAAGGCGGUCGCAGAGAAGAGGCCCAAGCGACUGUUUACCACAAACACAGGUGCCUGCUAAAGCGAAAGCUGACGUAUAGGUGCUGACACCUGCCCAGUGCUGGAAGGUUAAGGAAGGAUGUCCGGGCAACCAAAGCAUUCGACCGAAGCCCCAGUGAACGGCGGCCGUAACUAUAACGGUCCUAAGGUAGCGAAAUUCCUUGUCGGGUAAGUUCCGACCCGCACGAAAGGUGUAACGAUUUGGGCACUGUCUCAACGAGGGACCCGGUGAAAUUGAAAUACCUGUGAAGAUGCAGGUUACCCGCGACUGGACAGAAAGACCCCAUGGAGCUUUACUGUAACCUGACAUUGGGUUUUGUUGUAUUACGUACAGGAUAGGUGGGAGGCUUAGAAGGCUGGACGCUAGUCUAGCUGGAGCCGGCGUUGGGAUACCACCCUUGAUACAACGGAAUUCUAACCGAGAGAGUAACGAAAUCCGGGACAGUGUCAGGCGGGCAGUUUGACUGGGGCGGUCGCCUCCGAAAGAGUAACGGAGGCGCCCAAAGGUUCCCUCAGUGCGGCCGGAAAUCGCGCGAAGAGUGUAAAGGCAGAAGGGAGCUUGACUGCGAGCCAAACACGGCGAGCAGGUACGAAAGUAGGGCUUAGUGAUCCGGUG